UCUGGUUGAUCCUGCCAGUAGUCAUAUGCUUGUCUCAAAGAUUAAGCCAUGCACGUCUAAGGAUAAAUAUUUUUAACCAUAAACCUGCGAAAGGCUCAUUAAAUCAGUAAUAAUCUAUUCUAUUAUUUAAAUUCUAUUUGGAUAACUGUAGUAAUUCUAGAGCUAAUACAUGCAAAAAACCUGAACUUUACAGAACGGGUGUACUUAUUAGAUAUUAAAACCGAUUACAAUUUAUUGUAUACUUAAAAUGAUUUAAAAUAAGUUUAUGAAUCGCAGAUCAUUUUGUGAUGAUAAGAAUGAAUUUCUGCCCUAUCAACUUUCGAUGGUAAUGUAGAGGAUUACCAUGGUGAUGACGGGUAACGGGGAAUUAGGGUUUGAUUCCGGAGAAAAGGCCUGAGAGACGGCCAUUACUUCUAAGGAAGGCAGCAGGCGCGUAAAUUACCCAAUCCUAAUACGGGGAGGUAGUGACAAGAAAUAUUGAUAUUGGACCCAAAGGGUACAAUGAUUGAAAUGAGAACAAUAUAAAAAACUUAACGACUAACAAUUGGAGGGCAAGUCUGGUGCCAGCAGCCGCGGUAAUUCCAGCUCCAAGAGUGUAUAUUAAAGUUGUUGCGGUUAAAAAGCUCGUAGUUGAAUUUCUGAAAAUAAAUUUGUGAUUGAUUUAACCGUCUUGAUCAAAAAUUAUUAUCAUACUUGGUGAGUGGAAACAUUUACCUUAAUUACUUUGAAAAAAUUAGAGUGUUCAAAGCAAGAUUCACAUCUGAAUAAUACAGCAUGGGAUAAUAUAAUAUGACAUUAGUUAAAAUUUGUUGGUUUCUUUGGCUAAUGUAAUGAUUAAAAGGGACAGUUGGGGUAAUUUAUAUUGGUCGGGGAGGGGUGAAAUCCUAUGAUCCUUCCAAGAUAAACUAGUGCGAAAGCAUUUUACCAGGAUGUUUUCAUUAAUCAAGAACGAAAGUUGGGGGAUCGAAGAUGAUCAGAUACCGUCGUAGUCUCAACCAUAAACUAUGUCGACUAAGGAUGAUAAAAUAUUAAAUGAAUGAUUUUUGUCGCACUUUACAAGAAAUUAUAAGUAUUCAGACUCCGGGGGGAGUAUGGUCGCAAGGCUGAAACUUAAAGGAAUUGACGGAAGGGCACCACCAGGAGUGGAACCUGCGGCUUAAUUUGACCCAACACGGGGAAACUUACUAGGUCAGGACACAGUAAGGAUUGACAGAUUGAAAGCUCUUUCUUGAUUUUGUGGAUGGUGGUGCAUGGCCGUUUUUAGUUGGUGGAUUGAUUUGUCUGGUUAAUUCCGAAAACGAACGAGACCUUAACCUGUUAACUAUGUGAUAUUAAAAUUCGUUCUCGGACUAAAUAUUUGAUAUUAAAAAUUCAAUACUUCUUAAAGGAACAAUUCAAACCAG
rnacentral:rRNA from 1 species